AACACAAAUUCAAAACAUAAACAUGAUUUGCGGACCAUAAAUUUUUUUUUUAAUGCAAAGAAAAAACAUAAUCAGCCACAACAAACUCGUUUAAGUCCUCUUCCGAAUGGUAAUUAUAGAUGUGGAAAUUGCGCACAGUGCAACAACACUUUUAAAUCAACAUACUUUCGUCAUCCUCUUUCUGGAAAAACGUUUCCUAUUAAGAGUAUCAUCACUUGCGUGUCCACUCAUGUUGUGUACAUGAUUCACUGUCCGUGUGGCCUCGCCUACGAAGGUAAGACCACCAGGAAACUUAAACAGAGAAUCAGUGAACACAAGAGUGCGAUACGUCGCACGGAUGAAGAUUAUCCAGUGGCAGUUCAUUUUAAUGAGAUGAGACAUGACGUGGCCUCCCUCCGCUUUUGUGGGAUCGAACAGAUUUCGUUGCCACCUAGGGGCGGAGACCACGACUUGCUCCUAAAAAGAAGGGAAGCAUUCUGGAUUUUUACAUUACAGACACUGUCUCCAAAAGGAUUGGAUGAUGAGUUAUUGUUGAAUGUAAUGUUGUAGAUUUAUUGCUUAUCUGCUGUCUUACCCGGUUGUUAUAUUGGUCUACUGCAGGGAGAGUCAGUCAUUCAGAGCAUUUUUUGCUGUUUUUCCGCCUGGUACAUUCUGGGGCUGUUGGAAAUGCUGAAAAAAAUCUCUCCUUUCUUCAGCCUUGAUAAAAAAAAUUUCCGCUUGUGAUGCUCAUCAGAAAUGUUGAGCCCUCCAGUCCUCUGAUUGGUUAAUUGCAUCCACUUUGGAUAUAUAUAUAUGAAAUGUUGUGAUGCUGCCUGAAAUGCCUGAUGAAGGUCACACCGACUGAAACGUUGCUUAAAUAAAAAUAAGAGAGUGAGACAGU